rnacentral:lncRNA from 1 species
GAACAGGGGUCUGGGUAGGGAAGGCAGCAGGGUGGAGGUGAGUUAUCGGGGUGGCGGAGCCUUCAGGAGUGGUGGGGCACCGCCCUCGCAGUGCGCCCCCCACUCCCCAGCUUCUAGAGCUCAGCACGAGAUGAGCGGUGGUUGCUGUCAGAUAUUCAGAUUUCAGGACGCGGUGAAAAUAAGUUUUUGAAAAUAAAGAGCGGAUUUUCUUCGACAUUUCCCCUGUUCCAGCGCCCAUUGCGGGGAGGGCCCCCGAAUUGUAUGACUUCACAGCCCACGACAUCUGCUUCCAGCAAAUCUUUAUAGCACACCCACCAUGUCAGGCACUGUGCUAGGUGCUGGAGGGCACACCACGGAGCAUCGAGCAGAGGUGACCCUGCGCUCCUGCAGCCGCUGUCUGGCGGGGUCGAGAGCUCAGCUGGACUCAUUGGCCCUCACAGCACAUCCUGCCUCCCUGCCUCAGCCUCCUCCACCAGCCUGGAAUCCUUUCCCAGCCCCACCCGGCCACUGGCAUUUUCUCCAUCCUUCAAGGCCCAGUGCACAAGCUUAGCCCUCUGAGAAGCCUGACUCCACCAGUGGGAAGCAGGGCAUCAUCCACUGGAGCCUGUGACACUGCAGGCUCUUUGUGUCUCUCUUGGGACUCUGAUCCCCUUGGAUCUUGGGCUGUUUGUGGGUCAGUUUUCCCACUAGAGGGCAAGGGAUGGAGUCUGGUCUCUCUCUAUGCCCCCCGCUCAUCGGCACUCACCAGCACUUCCUGAGCUGGACAAAGUCCCAGACCAGACAUUGUGCACCCAGGGAUGGGACAGUCAGGGAGGAGCCGCCCUCCCUGAUCACCAGGAGCCCCCCGUGCCAGGGCUGUCUGCAGUGGAACUGUCAACACAGGAGGCUGCCUGUUGCAAAGGAGGGCAGGGCAGCUCAAAGGCCACCUCACAGGGAAGGUGACAGUCGGCUGGCCCUCUAAGGAUGAGCACAGCUUGUCAGGAUAAGGAGGGAAGACUCUUCUAUUCUGGGCAGGGGAGGGGGACAUUGAGCAAAAGUGACGACAGUGGGAACAGCAGGUGACAGUUGAGAAGUUUGGUGUGUCUGGGAGAACAAGAACGAUGUGGGAAGGGAGAAAUUGAGCGCGCACAUGGGAGCAGUUAGAGCAUAGACUCUGGACCCACACGGCCUGGGUUGAAAUCCUGGCUCUGUCACUGCUCUGUGCCUCAGUCUCCUCAACUGUAAAGUGAGGAUGAUCCUAGUACCUGCCUCACAGGGUGUUUCUAAGGAUGAAGUGAGUUAAUUUUUGUAAGAGCUUAGGGUAGUGUUGGGACAUGGUAAGCUGCUAUGUGAGUGUCUGAUAAACAAGAUGGAGCUCGAGGGGCAGGCAGGUGGAGGCCGUAUCAGGUGGGGCUUUGAGUUUGGACUUUAUCUGGAGGGCUCGCAGCCUUAACGAGGGGGAGGGGUGAAGAGGGGGAGGGGGCUGGGCUUGGAUCCAGCCUCGCUCCUCCCCACUCACCACCAUCCAGAGGGCCUCCUGCUCGCUCACAGCCCUGCCUGCCUCUCCCCCGUCCCUGGCCUUCCGGUGCCGCCGGUGGCCCUGUGACCUCGAUUGACGAUUGACGUAUGUGGAACUGUGGGGGCUGGGGCUCCAUCCACCCCGGCACACCCGGGGAAACUUUAUGGCCCAAUUUAUUAUCAAAGGAGGUCACGGGCAGACCCCGAGGGGUCCAAGGCACCAGGGCAGGGUGAACAUCCAAACCCUGGCUGAGCUUAAAGGAUGGCGAGACCGGAUAAGAAUGCGUUGAGUGAGGAAUGGAUAGGAGAAUGGCGAGGCGGGGUGGGGGUGGGGCAGUCACUUGUCCAGACUGGAGGCAAAGUUGGAUGUAGGACACUGUGGGCGUGAUGCUGUGGGCUUCGGAGCCGGAUGCACAUCUUGGCCCAGUCGUCUCCCCUCUUUAUGCCUCAGCUGCCUGCUGAGUAAAAUGGAGAUGAAAAUAGUGGCCCCUCAAAGGUGGCGCGGAUAAACCAGGUCAUUUGACUGCCUCUGCUGCCCCCUGCUGCCUAGUACUGGUCGGUGCAGAAUGAUGACAGCACUAACGCGAGAGCGCUGGUUCUCAACCUUUUUGGACUCAGGACCCUUUUCCACACCUAAAAAUUAUUGAGGAUCCCAAAGAACUUCUGUUUAUGUGGUUUUUACCGGUAUUUACAGUAUUAGAAAUUAAAACGGAG